GCAUCGGUGGUUCAGUGGUAGAAUGCUCGCCAUCCACGCGGGCACGCGGGCGGGUUCGAUUCCCAGCCGAUGCA